rnacentral:sRNA from 1 species
CUGGGCGACCCCACCGAUUGCCCGAAAAAGGGCCAUGGCACCAACCCGAUCGCGGCCGGCUCUCCUGACGU